rnacentral:rRNA from 1 species
ACAGCAGCCGCCGCGGUAACACGGAGGGUGCAAGCGUUAAUCGGAAUUACUGGGCGUAAAGCGUGCGUAGGCGGUUCGUUAAGUCUGUUGUGAAAGCCCCGGGCUCAACCUGGGAAUGGCAAUGGAUACUGGCGAGCUAGAGUGUGUCAGAGGAUGGUGGAAUUCCCGGUGUAGCGGUGAAAUGCGUAGAGAUCGGGAGGAACAUCAGUGGCGAAGGCGGCCAUCUGGGACAACACUGACGCUGAGGCACGAAAGCGUGGGGAGCAAACAGGAUUAGAUACCCCCGUAGUCCCUGUCUCUUAUAC